CAGCAAUCAAGUUCUAAAAAUCAACCAUUAAGAAGGAUUCCCAAACUCUUUUUGGGCGUGGAGAUGGAGGAUGCCCAACCACCUUGGGCAUUGGAACCAAGAAGGAGAAGGCCGACUUGUUGAUGGUUGACUCCGAACGAUGCACUGAAGCACUGGAGGUCUCGAUGAAGGCUGAUAGGGUGACCUAAAAUUUUCAGUACCGGACAUGUGCUGACAUCGGAGGUCCGUCGAUUAGAUCGGAUUUGGCAUCAGGAAGACCCUCAAAUGUGGGAAGGA
rnacentral:lncRNA from 1 species